UAAUCGUUUCCGCGACACACAUCGGUCCCGUUCCGCGAUUCGACGAUCGUCCCUCGCCCGUAGGUACCGGUUCGCGAGAAAGGGUGGAGCGUCCGCUCUCGGAAGGGAUGAUAAUACAAUUUAGGGGUAAGGGCUCAAUUACGUCUGCGUAUAUAAAAUCCAGAUUUCUGCUUGACGGCUUACUGUCGAAACCGCAACACACCGUCACGGAGAACCCGUCUGCAGCGUACCUAUCGUUCCUGUGCAGCAUCGACGACGAACCACUCGAACACAACAACUCGACAUCCGCAUCACCGGCCGUGCCAUCUCUGAUUGCAUUCGAUCUCCGAUCCGAAGAUUUUUGUUGUCCGUCCGCGUACUAACGAGACUCAAUCAUGUCUUCAAGCUGCACUUCGAAAACUACCGACUACUACUAUCAGAUGAGGCAGAAGAACAACGAGGCUGCUAGAAACAGCCGUUUCAAGAAGAAGGUUGCCGAAAUCGAAAUAUCCGCUCAAAAGCGCAAGUUGGAGGUGACAUACGUGCAGUUGAAAAAAGAAAUCAAACGCAUACAAAUCGUGAAAGCUUCUUAAACAUCAAUCAGGCUUUUUCCGUGAUAAUGACUGCAAUAUAAAUAAAAACAUUUUUUCAACUGGAAAUUUUAAGUAAAAUAAAUGAUGCAAAUGGAUUCUGUUGAAUUUCUAGUCAAAUACAUUGUACAUCACUCAAUAGUUUGACUGUUAUUUCUACAGGAAUGAAAUACAACAAAUAUUUUUAUUACCACUAUCUAUUAAUAUGUAAAAGACAAUAUUUUCAGGAUAAAAAUGUACUUUUUUCUUUUUAAACUUAUAUAUUUUUAUUUUUAUUUUUAUUUUUAUUAUUAUUAUAAUAUUAUUUUUUUCCUAUUAUUAUGAUUCUCAUUUUUUUUUUUUUU